rnacentral:lncRNA from 1 species
UAGGACAGAGAGAAUGUAUGGAGAUUUAAAGAGGGUUAAUUGCGUAUAGGUUCCUGCAAACAUAAUGAAUUACAAAUUUAUAACUAUAAAGUUCAACUUUUAUAUAUUAUUCUUACAAAAGUCCUGAUAUUUUUAAAUAUAUUCCCUACCGGUAGAAUUAAUUAGAAAAAUUUAGUUAACCAUAUAUUAAAUACUUAACCCUGAUUAGUUAAUAAGAUGAAUUGAAUUUUUUACCCGUCUUAAAUUAAUAUUGAAAUUUUUGAAGAAACAUAUUAGUGAUGACAAAAAAAUCAUUUUACUUAUAAAACAGACAGUACUUUAACGAUAGCAAAUUAAAUGGACAUAUUUAAAAAUAUCAAAAUUUUUUAGGGAACAAUAUAUAUAAGUUGAUCUUUAUAGAAAUAUAUUGGUAAAUCAUUAUAUUUGCAGGGACCUAUACUAAAUUAAUUCAUUUUAAAAAUAAAGAUUAAUUGCAUACAGGUCCCCGCAAACAUUGUAAAUUGCAAAUACAUUUUUGUAAAAUUCAACUUUCAUAAGUUAUUUCUGUAAAAGUUCUAAUAUUUUCAAAUAUGUCUAUCUGAUUUAUUACAGUUAGACAACCGUUAAAAAACUGUUUAUAUUUUUAAUUUUGCCAUCACAAAUAUAUCAUUUCAAAAGGUAUAACAGUAUAAUAUAAGAAGGGUAAAAAUAUUAAAAAUUAAUAUGGGUAAAAUAUUUAAUUUAUGAUUAACUAAAUUUUUCUAAUGAAUUCUAACCGUAAAGGCAUAUCUGAAAAUAUUAAAAUUUUUACAAAAAUAAUUUAUAAAACUUAAACUUUACAGUAAUAAAUUUAUAAUUUAUUAUAUUUAUAGGGACGUGUAUGCAAUUGAUCCAA